CCGGGCGUAGCGCAGAGGCAGGCGCACCUGCAUGGCAUGCAGGAGACGCCGGUUCGAAUCCGGCCGCCCGGACC
rnacentral:tRNA from 1 species